rnacentral:lncRNA from 1 species
AUGAGCCCUUUGCCCCAGAUGCCUGUGCAAACGCUCCAGGACCACAAAUCAAGUUGUGGAGCUGUGAGUCCGUGUAGCUGUGCAGCGGGACUCCUGGAGGAGUUGCUGACUCCUGACUCUCCUCCCCAUAAUGACAUUAUUGAUGGGGGCCAGCCCCUCCACACCUGUGGAUAUUUCUGUCAGCAUGACACCAGCAGAUCCUGGGGUAGCCCAACCCAACAGCCAGGUUCUGGGCUGAUGGUGAUGGGCCUUCAGUCAUGUCGACCUAUGGCAGCCAGGCAUCUCACAACAAAAUGAUGCCUCCCAGCUCCCAUACCCACCCUGGACACGCUCAGCAGACAUCUGCAGGUGAUGGCCGUGCCCUGCCUCACAUGGGAAACAUCAAGCCCCACACCUCAGGUAUGAACCACCUGACCCCAGAGGAGACACCUUUACCGGUGCCUCUGCCCCACCCCAUGCAGACGAGUGCCCUGGGCGCUACUCCUCCGUGAGCAGCUGCAGUGGCUAUGGCAGAAUGGGCCUCCUCCACCAGGGGAGGCUCCCAAGUGACUUGGACGGCAUGCUCACUGAGCACUGGGAUUGUGACGUGGAAUCCAAGUCUUCAUCUGGAAUGACCUUAUGGAUGGAGACACUGAAUUUUAACCUCCACAAUGUGUUGCCCAACCAAAGCGCCCUGCACAGUGUCCAGAGGAGGCCACAUAGCUGGGUGUCAGGCUGAGAAUUAGUGACCAGGCUACGCUUAAAAGUACUUCAGAUUGGCCGGGUGCGGUGGCUCGCGCCUGUAAUCCCAGCACUUUGGGAGGCUGAGGCGGGUGGAUCACAUGGUCAGGAGAUCAAGACCAUCCUGGCCAACAUUGUGAAACCCCGUCUCUACUAAAAAUACAAAACUUAACUGGACAUGGUGGUGGGUGCCUGUAGUCCCAGCUACUUGGGAGACUGAGGCAGGAGAAUUGCUUGAACCAGGGAGUCAGAGGUUGCAGUGAGCCGAGAUUGCACCACCACUCGAUCCAGCCUGGGCGACAGAGUGAGACUCUGUCUCAAAAAAAAAGAAAGAAAGAAAAAGAAAAAAAACUUCCACAAAAAUGUUUACAGUAUAAUUCUUCAUGAUAACCAAUAAGUGGAAACAAAGGCUGGCAGUGGCUCAGGCCUGUAAUUCCAGCACUUUGGGCGGCCAAGGCAGAUGGACUGCUUGAAGUCAGGAGUUUGCGACCAGGUUAGGCAACAUGACAAAACCCUGUCUCUAUAAAAAAAUACAAAAAUUAUGGCCGGACAUGGUGGCUCCUGCUUGUAAUCCCAGCACUUUGGGAGGCCGAGGCAGGCGGAUCACAAGGUCAGGAGAUCGAGACCAUCCUGGCUAACACGCGGUGAAACAAAAAAAUUAGCCGGGCAUGGUGACGGGCACCUAUAGUCCCAGCUACUUGGGAGGCUGAGGCUGGAGAAUGGUGUGAACCUGGUAGGCAGAGGUUGCAGUGAGCCAAGAUCAGCCACUGCACUCCAGCCUGGGCAACAGAGCAAGACUCUGUCUCAAAAAAAAAAAAUUAGCCAGGCAUGGUGGUGUCCCCCUGUGGUCUCAGCUACUUGGGAGUCUAAAUUGGGAAGCUAACUUGAACCCAGUAGGUGGAGGUUGCGGUGAGCCAAGAUUGUGUCACUGCAGCCUGGGGCACAGAGUGAGAACUUGUCUCAAAAAAAAAAAAAAAAAAAAGAAAGAAACAACUUAAAUUUCCAUGAAUUAAUGAAGGGAUCAAUAAAAUGCAGUAUAUUCACACAAAGCUAAACUUUUUUUUUUUUUUUGAGACAGGGCCUCACCCUGUUUCCCAGGCUGGAGUGCAGUGCUGUGAUCACAGUUCACUGCAACCUUGAUCUCCUGGACUCAAGCAAUCUCCCUGCCUCAGCCUCCCAAGUAGCUCAUACUACAGGUGUGAGCUGCCACAUAUGGCUAAUAUUAUAAAAUUUUUUGAUAGAGACAGGGGUCUCCCUAUGUUGCACAGGCUGGUCAUGAACUCCUGGGCUCAAGGGAUCCUCCUACCUUGGCAUCCCUAAGUGCUGGGAUUAAAAGUGUGAGACACCACACCUGGUCAACAAUGCAAUAUUACUAAGCCAUAAAAAAGAAUGAAAUAUUAGUAUGUGGUACAAUAUAAAUGAACCUCAAAAAUAGUAUGCUAAGUGAAAGAAGCCAUAUAUGAAAAGCCCUGUAUUAUAUGAUUCAGUUUAUAUGAGAUGUCCAGAGUAGGCAAAUCCAUAGAGACAGAAAGUAGAUUACCAGGGGCUGGGGAGAGGGAAAGUGAGGAAUGAUGGCUAAUGGACUUGGGGCUUCUUUUGGGGGUGAUUAGAAUGUUCUGGAAUUAGCUGCUGGUAAUGACUGCACAUUAUUGAACAUGCUUUUAUUUUAUUUUACUUUAUUCAUUUAUUUUUUGAGACAAGGUCUGGCCCU